rnacentral:rRNA from 1 species
CGCCUACGGGGGGCAGCAGUGAGGAAUAUUGGUCAAUGGGCUUACGCCUGAACCAGCCAAGUCGCGUGAGGGAAGACUGCCCUAUGGGUUGUAAACCUCUUUUGUCAGGGAGCAACGCCGGCUACGUGUAGCCGGACUGAGAGUACCUGAAGAAAAAGCAUCGGCUAACUCCGUGCCAGCAGCCGCGGUAAUACGGAGGAUGCGAGCGUUAUCCGGAUUUAUUGGGUUUAAAGGGUGCGUAGGCGGAAUGCCAAGUCAGCGGUAAAAUUUCGGGGCUCAACCCCGACGAGCCGUCGAAACUGGCU